rnacentral:tRNA from 1 species
ACCUGGGUGGCUCAGUAGGUUGAGUGUCUGACUCUUGGUUUCAGCUCAGGUCAUGAUCUCAUGGUUUGUGGGUUCGAGUCUCACCUCGGGCU